AUUGAACGCUAGCGGCAGGCCUAACACAUGCAAGUCGCACGAGUGGCGGAAGGGUGAGUAAUGUAUCGGAAAGUGCCAGAUAGAGGGGGAUAACUACUGGAAACGGUAGCUAAUACCGCAUACACUUGGCAGUGCCGAUAUGGGAUUAGCUAGUGGGUGGGGUAAAGGCUAACCAAGGCGACGAUCCCUAGCUGGUCUGAGAGGAUGACCAACCACACUGGAACUGAGACACGGUCCAGAUUCCUACGGGAGGCAGCAGUGGGGAAUAUUGCACAAUGGGCGCAAGCCUGAUGCAGCCAUGCCGCGUGUAUGAAGAAGGCCUUCGGGUUGUAAAGUACUUUCAGCGGAGAGGCGUUACCCGCAGAAGAAGCACCGGCUAACUCCGUGCCAGCAGCCGCGGUAAUAC
rnacentral:rRNA from 1 species